GCCACUCUGGCAUCCUUUCAAAAAAUAAUGUUUUGAGGGAUUCAAAUGGCUUCUUCAUAGCAGUACAGCUCCCAUAGAACUCAGAGCCCACAGUCACAACUUUAUCGAAUGCUUCAAUUGAGAGAUACUCUAAAGAAGCUAAUUGCCCGAGCGGUGGUAAGGAGGUGUAGUUUGUACAUCUACGGAGCUUCAAGGACACUAUAUUUGAGAAAGAGGACUCUCCUGCCCACUCUGGAAACCUUAUACCUCCAUAACCAUCAAUCUGAAGAUCCUUCACAUUUCUAUUUGGCUCUAAUUUCUCAAGUGUGCUUGUUAUGUGUUGUGGGUCAUGAGUGUCACCAUCCCAUGUAAACCUCAGCUCAUCAAUGUGCUUUCUACCUUUCAAAUUUGCCUCAACAGCAUCCUGAGCAUCCACCACAUUUUGAAGGUUCCCAAUAUGAAGUUCUUGUUGGCAUGAGUUGUACAAACCGAGAGACAAUAGGAAACUAUAGCUGUAAUAGUCACGUUUAUCUUCUAUUUUUAUGUAAAUCCCGAUUGUCAUGGGAUCGUAAUAGUUUCCUUUCCAAACACAACUAGGAAAGCUGUACAUUGUGAUGUAUAUAUCCCCUGCUUCUUGAAUAAGAAAAUAAGAAAGAAUUCUGCAGAAACCCUACUCAAACUAACAUGGUAUCAGAGCAUAGAUCCUAAAUUAAUCUAUUGCUACAACGAAAGUUGCUGGAACAAAUAGCAACAUACGACCAUGGAGAGAAUAGAAGGAAUGGAAGCAGCACCCGUAGAACUAGAGCAACCAAAUACGGCUGCAAAUCUUGAAGAAUUAUGGCAAGAAUGACUCAAGCCAUAAACCAGAAUCAAACACAGACUCCAACAGUAAUGCAUGAUAUUACUGCAACACAGAUUGGUAUCAAACUCGAUGGUACCAAUUAUGCUUUAUGGUCCCAAAUUGUUGAGAUGUUCAUCUCCGGAAAAGACAAGUUGGGAUAUAUAAAUGGUGAUCUUCCACAACCAGAACCGAAUGACCCUUCGUUUUAGGAGGUGGAGGACAGAAAACUCAGUGGUAAAAGGAUGGUUAAUUGGAUCGAUGAACCCAUCCUUGGUCAGCAACUUCAUCCGAUUCCCUACAGCUAAACAGGUAUGGGAUUCAAUUGCUGUAACUUACUUUGAUGGGACUGAUACAUCUCAGGUGUAUGAUCUAAAGAGGCAAGUAAAUAGAAUGAAACAAUCAGGGGAACCAAUUGAAAAAUACUACAAUGAUCUCCAAGGCUUAUGGAGGGAGAUUGACUUUCGUCGUCCAAACCCGAUGGUUUGUGUUCAUGAUAUACAAAAAUACAACACUCUCUUGCAAGAGGAUCGGGUGUACACCUUUCUCGAUGGAUUAGAUGACAGGCUUGAUAAAAUCAGGAGUGAUGUGUUGCAACUGAAACCAUUUCCAACUGUAGAACAGGCGUAUGCCCAUAUCCGGAGGGAAGACAUAAGGCAGGCUGUGAUGCUGUCCAACAGAGGAAAUAUUCCAGAUGCUGCUGCAAUGAUCUCUAGAGGUAUGAGAACGGGUUCACAAAACAAAUUUACAUUGCAGGUAGCCAAGACUGGAAACUCCUCUUCACACGGGGGGAAAUUUAAUUCUGAAAAAACUAAGGGCCAUGUGGAGGGAGGAUGCUCCCACUAUGGGAACUUGAAACACACCCGUGAGACAUGUUUUAAAUUACAUGGCUACCCCGAAUGGUGGACAGAACUCAAGGCACGAAAACAAAAAGAAGCUGCUGGUGGAAUUGGAAGAGCAUCCAUGGUUAAUUCAGCCCCCAAGAAUCCAGAAGCCACCCUUUCACUCGUCCCACUUGUUGAAUCAAAGGAGGACAUGGCAACCUCUCUUGGUAAUCCAGGUAACAAUUCCAGUAAUGACAGCAGUGCCUUACUUAUGUCUAACCCAGGCAAGAAUGAAGAUUGGAUAGUGGAUUCAGGAGCUACUGAUCAUAUGAUGUUUUGUCAAGAUGAUCUUGUGGAAAUUACAGAGCCAAGGCGAAAUAAUAUAUUCAAUGCCAAUGGGGUUAUGUAUCCGGUUACAGGAGCUGGAACCGUAGAUUUAUCAUCUUCAAUCUCCUUGGCUAACACUCUUUUAGUUCCCUCUCUUUCCAGUAAAUUAUUAUCAGUGGGACAAGUCACCGAAGAACUCAAUUGCUUAGUGCUAAUGUAUCCAACAUUUUGUCUUUUUCAGGAUAUUCUCACGAAAAAGAUUAUUGGGCGUGGUACUAAAAGAGAGGGGUUAUACUACAUGGACGACUUCAGUUUCGACAAAGUCAAUACCAUGAGUCGCACAUCUAGCGCACAUGAAGAACAGAUUUGGUUAUGGCAUGCUCGGUUGGGGCACCCUUCAUUUAGCUACAUGAAACAUUUAUUUCCGCAGUUAUUUUCAACUUUGAGUUACUCAAAUUUCAGAUGUGAAACAUGCAUAUUGGCCAAGAGUCACCGUGUACCUUUUCCAACUAGCAUGAAUAAAAGUGAUAUUCCAUUUACUCUAAUUCACUCUGAUGUUUGGGGACCUUCCCCUAUUACAACUAUCUCGGGUAUACGAUGGUUUGUGACUUUUGUAGAUGAUUGUACGCGGAUGACUUGGCUAUAUUUGUUGAAACGCAAGGAUGAAGUAUUUGGUGUAUUUCGAGCAUUUUCAUGCUAUGAUUCAGAACCAAUAUUCAGCAAAGGUCCGUAUUCUUCGGACGGACAAUGGGGGAGAGUAUAUGAAUCGCGAUUUUCAUGAAUAUUUCCAAAGAACUGGUAGUCAGACGCCACAUGAGUCAUCGUGUAGUCAGACGCCACAACAAAAUAGAGUAGCCGAAAGGAAGAAUCGACACAUCCUAGAGACUGCACGAGCCUUGUUGAUUGGAUCAAAUACACCUAGUCGUCAUUGGGAUGACGUUGUUGCUUCGGCUGUGUAUCUAAUGAACCGUAUGCCCUCUAAGGUUUUAGAUUUUGACACCCCAUUACAGUUUUUGUCAAAACAUGUCACUCUGCCAUCUUUACUUCUCAUCAAGCCACGUAUAUUUGGAUGUGUUGCCUUUGUUCAUUUGCAUAAAAAUCAAAGGACCAAGCUGGAACCGUGUGCCAUUCGGUGCAUAUUUUUGGGGUAUGGUACUAACAAGAAAGGGUAUCACUGCUAUGACCCGAAUAAAAAUCGGGUGUACAUAACAAUGGAUGUCAUAUUUGUAGAAUUGGACAAGUUCUAUUCACCCCAUAUAUCAACUUCUUCUCUUCAGCAGGAGACUUGGGAUGAAGAGUAGAAGUGAUGGACGGGAAAAAUUGAAGAAACUAUGGUGACAACAGCUCCUACUGUAGUGACAGUGGCACCAUCACAGGAGGAGGAAACCACGGUAGCAGCCCUUACCGUGGUGACAGUGGCGCCAUCACAGGAGGAGACAGAAGCAGCUGUUAUACAAAUGGAUGAAAAUAUGAUGACAGUGGAUGCUGCUAGAUAUAUAGAGGAUAUAUGUCAUCCUCCACAGGAAUUGUCUGCAUGUUACAAAGGGCAUUGUAUGGGCUGAAACAAUCACCGCGUGCAUGGUUUGGUCGCUUUAGCAUGGCUAUGAGAAAGUAUGGUUUUCAACAAAGCAACUCAGAUCAUACUCUCUUCCUAAAACGACGACAAGGGAAAAUAACUGCCUUGAUAAUCUAUGUCGACGACAUGAUAAUCACAUGAGAUGAUUCAGAAGAAAUCUAUAGACUAGAGAAACAUUUGGCCACGGAAUUUGAAAUGAAGAACUUGGGUGGACUCAAAUAUUUUCUUGGAAUAGAAGUUGCUAGAUCAAAACAGGGCAUCUUUCUAUCACAACGAAAAUAUGUACUUGAUCUACUGGCAGAAGUUGGAAUGCUCGACUGCAAACCGGCAGAUACUCCAACAAUUCAGAAUCAGAAACUUGGGGAGUAUCCUGAUCAAACCCCAACCGAUAAAGAGAGGUAUCAACGACUGGUGGGUAAGCUAAUUUAUUUAUCUCAUACUCGUCCAGAUAUUUCAUAUGCGGUGAGCAUGGUCAGUCAAUUUAUGCAUUGCCCCAGUAAAGAUCACAUGGAUAUGGUUGUUCGGAUUCUUCAAUACUUGAAAUCAGCUCCAGGAAAGGGGAUUAUGUUCUCUAAGAAUGAUCACUUAGAUGUUGAAGGCUAUACAGAUGCAGACUGGGCAGGAAACUUGGUCGACAGAAAAUCCACAUCAGGUUACUUCACAUUUGUUGGAGGCAACUUGGUUACGUGGAGGAGUAAGAAACAAAAGGUGGUAGCUCUAUCAAGUGCGGAAGCCGAGUUUAGAGGUAUGGCAAAGGGGCUUUGCGAGCUUCUGUGGCUCAGACGCCUGCUCUCAGAAAUUGGCUUUGCACCCAAUUCUGAAAUGAAUUUAUAUUGCGACAAUAAAGCCGCGAUAGAAAUAUCUCAGAAUCCAAUCCAACAUGAUAGAACGAAGCACAUUGAGAUAGACCGGCAUUUUAUUAAACAGAAUCUUGAAGAAAAGGUAAUUCGCUUUCCGUUCGUCAGAUCAGAGGACCAACUUGCGGACAUGCUUACAAAAGCCGUCUCAAACAAAAACUUUCACAGCUCACUUGACAAGCUGGGUAUCAAAGACAUGUCUACACCAACUUGAGGAGGAGUGUUGGCAUGAGCUGUACAAACCGAGAGACAAUAGGAAACUAUAGCUGUAAUAGUCACGUUUAUCUUCUAUUUUUAUGUAAAUCUCGAUUGUCAUGGGAUCGUAAUAGUUUCCUUUCCAAACACAACUAGGAAAGCUGUACAUUGUGAUGUAUAUAUCCCCUGCUUCUUGAAUAAGAAAAUAAGAAAGAAUUCUGCAGAAACCUACUCAAACUAACAGUUCUCCCCGUAGAUGUCGUAGCUUUCCCAAUUCUUUAAUGCUAGUCUCACUCUGUCUUCCCACGAGAAAGUCAGUCAACGUUUGGAGCUUUGCCAGUUGACCUAUAUGUGGUGGCAUCUCUUUCAAAAGCGUGUAUUUGAUGUUAAGAUACCGCAAGUUGAUUAACCUUUCCAGAGAUGCAGUCAACCUUUCGAUUCCUGUUCUUUGAAGAUUCAGAUGUCGUAAAUACUUCAAAUUUCCAAGAUCAGGUAGACUAGCAAGUUGUUUGCAAUAUUCCAAGAUCAACGUUUGCAAAUUGAGAAGAGUACUCGCUUCUUCAGGCAACGUUACUAAAUCUGACCGAGAAAGAUUCAAAUACCGUAAAUGCUUCAACUUGCUAGUUGAACAAAACUUCAUAGUUGCAUCUCUACAACCAGUCAUGAAUAGCACUCGUAGGCGCCCAAGUGUUGACUGAAAGAUCUCAUUAUAAAAUUCGGGAGGACAGAUCCAAUUGUGUGGAUAAGUUUGGAAUGUGCGUAGAAGCUGAGCUUCACGGAUGUUUUCUAAUUUCUUGCUGAAAGAACAAUCUUCAGUAUGUGGCGUACCUGCUACGAGCCUACGAGUGAUAAAUGUCGGGUCCUUCUAGUCGCCUUGGAAUAAUUAUUUGGGCCGAUGCAAAAUUGACCGGACACAUGUGUAGCCAAGUCAUGCAUGAGAUCGUGCAUCACAAAUGAUGAGGGAGAGGCACUUGAUUGCUGGAAAAACGACCUUGACAAGAGAUCAUCAAAGCACUCAGCACCUGCCUUUUCCAUCUCAUCAUCUACAGAGUGGACUAAGAAGCAUAGUUUUGAAACCCGACCCGGUCAUUGACCCGGUCGACCUUCUGGGUCACGGGUCAGGUGGGUUGACCCGGGUUAACCCGGGUCAACCCAAAAAAACCUAUAUAUAAAAAAAACACAUAACUAAUUACAAUAUAACACUUACUUAAACCAAAUUUAAAUUAUAAACCAACAAUAUAAAUUUAAUUCAAUAUCCAAAAUACAAACUAAAUAUAAAUUAUAAAAUAUUUAAAACAAAACAUCCAACCAAAUAAAUUCCAAAAUAUUUAUAUGAGAGGAGGGUGUUGUUAAAGGAGGAGAGCAUGUUUAUUUAUUUAUUUAUUAUUUUUUUAAAAGGAAUAAAGCAUAAUCUCUUUCAAACAAGGAGAAGGCACGAAUAAAGCUAAAGCAUUUAGCUCUGCUUGAAGUUGAAUGGCUAGAGGGCUAAACUAAUGACUUCCUUCAUGGCUUAUGACUACAGCCUCCAGGAACAAUCACUUACAUGUGCAUGUUUUUUGAAUGAGAUUAUAACAUUGGUUUUUUUAUAUUAACAAUCGCUUAUUCUUUACUAUCCUUCAUUAUGUUUUUUUCUUAAAUCUUAUUCAAUCAUUUUAUUACAUGUGCAUGUUUUUAUUAUCAUAUAAUUAUUUGUUCUAAUUAUUUUUUAUUAUUAUUAAAUAGAGGAAAUAUUAUACUAGCAUAUUAUUUAGUUUCAAUGGGAUAUAAAUUAUUAAUUUUGUUAUAAAAAAUGCCUGAUAUCUAAUUAAAUAAGAAAAAUUGAAUAACUCCUCAAGUCACGAGAUUAUAUAUCCUAAUAUGCAUCUAUCUCUCAGUCUCUCAAUUUUAUUUUUAAUUUUGUAAGCAAUUUUAUAUAUUGGCAAGUGUAAUUAUCAACUAUUUUUGUUUCACAGUUAAAAUAUUUUUUUAUGAUAAAAAUAUAAUUAACAAUGCCUAAGGAUUUGUAUUUAUUUUUUUGGGCGUUACAGGAACGUGGAUACGUUAACUAGUGAAUAGUCUAUUUAAGAUGGAUCCAAGUGAUGAGAGAUUUAAUUUUCAUAUAUGAAAACCCAUAAAAAUAACAUGACUAUUAAAUACUAACAAUAAGAAAGGUUUGAGAUAGAUAUGCAAUACACUCACGGGACAUUUUAACAAGAGAGUGUUUAGUGUCCCGAUCCAAGUCAAUCAGUAUGCUCGCCAUUGUUAGCCUGAAAAUUGAGUUCGAAUCAGAAUAGUUGAACGGACGACAGGGAGAAACUUUUGUCCACGGUUCAAUCAAAAGAUGCUGUGGAGAACAUAGAGAUUUUGGGCUGCCUGUUCUUGAUGCGACUCUAAUUCAUGGGAUUUGCUGGUUAGAGAAAAGGGUAAAAAGCACAACCAUAUCCACAAUCCAUGACUGGAACAUACCUGGUACGAGUGGGGAGUUGCGUUUUUGGACUGAAUGGCAGGCACCGCUUCUUUUCCUGCUUCUGGGUCUCGACCUCUGUAUAUAUGGCACUGAUUCUGCUCACCUUGUUGGCUUCUGCUACACCCUGUUCUUCGUUCUUCGUCUGUCUUCGCUCUUCGGUGCUAAGUAUGUUUUUAGAGUCAUUAAACGGCGUCGUUUAAUGACAGGGAGAGUAAAAAAAAAAGUGGCCGGGUCGACCGGGUUUGACCGGGCCAAUUCCCAAGCGGGUUUUGGCCUUCACCCGGACCGGUUCCGUGCCCGGGUCGGCCGGGUCCCGGGUCGACCCGCCGGUCCGGUCCGGGUUUAAAAACUAUGUUAAGAAGCCCUCUGCCAUCCACAGGAGCACCAACUCAUCCUUUUGAAAUGAAUAAUCUUUUGGAAAUAUGGCACAAUAAGCAAAACAUUGCUUCACAUGUGGCAAGAGAUAAAGAUAACUUAAUCUCAAAGCUGGGAGGAUAUCGUCAUUGGGUAAAUCCCAUAGAUUGCUUUUCAAUAUCUUCUCCCACUCCUCGACAUCUCUUUUGGUGCGUAGCAGACCACCGAGUGUUAUUGCAGCUAGAGGAAGGCCUUCACACUUUCUCGCUAUUGCUCUACCAAUUUCUUGCAACUCUUCAUAAGCUUUGGGAUUUUCACCUCGAAUGCAUGGGUGGCAAACACGGCCCAGCAGCUGUCUUCCGUCAAUUCUUUUAGAUAAUGAGUUGGAACAGUUCUCAUGACUGUUGCUACACCUUCAUUCCGUGUUGUGACAAGAAUCUUACUCCCUUGUGCUCCGCACUUCAGGGGGGUAAGCAAAUUGUCCCACUCAGCAUAAUCUUCCUUCCAAACGUCAUCUAAAACAAGCAAGAAUUUCUUUCCCCGCAAUCUCUCCUUCAACUGAAGCUGGAGGGGAUCCAGGUUAUCAAAAUCAGGCUUUGAACCGAACCCCUCAAGGAUAACCUUGGUUAACUUCGAAACACUGAAAUCUUCAGAAACACAAACCCAAGCUUUGAGACCGAACCGCUCUUGUACUCUGCUGUGAUUGUAUACAAGCUGAGCGAGCGUGGUUUUACCAACCCCGCCCAUUCCCACUAUGGGAACGACACCUAGGUUUUGUCCAUUUGCAUCAUCUGAUAGAAGCAACUGCAGUAUUGCUUCCUUGUCAUCAUCUCUGUCGCACGUGUGCGGCGGCGCGGCGAUCAUCCACCCUCAAGGAAAAAUCGGAAUAAUUUAUUCCUGGAAAAUAGGGGAGAGACAAGGAAUUCUUGUCUCUACAUGUGAAAAUAUGGACUGGGAGUCGCCACCUAGUAUUCUGGUUACUAGGAACCUUAACUGGUCUUUAGAGAUCGGGUACGGAGACUGGUUGCGUAAAAGGAAGGUAUUAGCACCCCAACUACGCCCUACCUAAGAUAGGCUGCAUUGUUUUAAUGUCUGAUAAAAUCUAAAAUCAUGUUGUGGUUUUUUUGAAUUGUUGGUUCGUUUAUGGUUUAAGAAAAGUCCUCCUCUGUAAGGAGAUCCUUAUCUUUAUCGGGUAAAAAAACUAACUAUUCGAAGUCGUCAAAAGAAAAUAUCUUUUUUUUUUUUUAUCAGGAAUACGAUUUACGUAUAAAUUCAUAAUCUCUGAUACUAAGAUCAAACAAAAUAAAAUAUUUUGUUGUUUUUGAGAUUUUGGCCAAUGUUCUCUUGACUUUAAUAAACUGGUUAUUAAAGCCAAAAUGCAUGCUAAAAUUUUUUUUUUUUUUGACAUAUGCAAAAUACGAUAUGAUUUUUUAGAUUUGAGACACUUGGCCGUAUGCACAAAAACAUUUUUUUUUUAAUCUUUUUUUAAUUUUAUUUAUUUAUUUUUGGAAGUUUUUGCCGAAAAACGGGUCUUUUAAUACCGGAUUUAUAUUUUUACGAUGUAAAAAUAUUGCCCGAUAUUAAUCAAAAUGGCAUAAAAAAAACUACGCGGAAAAAUUAUAAAAUGCUGAAACAAAUAUUUUUGAAUUUUUUUUUUUAUGCUGUGUGAACAGUACCGUAUGAAUAGUGACGUGUGAACAGUACCGCGGGACGAAAACCGGGUAUUUUAAUACCGAAUUUAUAUUUUUACGAUGUAAAAUACAGACCGAUAUUAAGCAAAAUUGAUAAAAAAAUAUGCCGGAAAAAUUGUAAAAAAAAAUAAAAAUGAAAUGGGCCGGGUCCGGCCCAUACAGUGGGCUGGGCCAACCGGCCCAAACUAAAUGGGCUGGUUACUGUGCAUAAGCACAGUAACCAGCCUCUCAGCAGUUGCAGAACGUGAAUUAAUUCACGUUCUGCAUGAAAAUAAAGAGAGGGCAGCAGCAAAGGAGAAGGAGACGGGGCAAGGGUUACCUGCGGUGGCGUCGAGGCGGUGCUGCUGGUGGCGCGGAGGCGAUGGUGGCGGAGGCACGUGGCCGGCGGUUCUUCUCUUCUCUCUCCUCUGUUUUUCUUCUUUUCUUCUGCUUCUUUUUUUUCUUCUUCUCUCUUCUCUCUCUUCUCUUCUCUCUCUUCUCUCCUCUUCUCUCUCCCUCUUCCUCUGUUUUUUCUCCUCUUCCUCUCCCCUGUUUUUAUAGGCGAAAAACAGGGGACGUCAUGGUGGUGGCCUGUUGGCCGCCCGUCCACUAUCCAAGUGGAAAGUUGGCAAGUGGCCUUUCGGCGUCUUUUUGAGCAAAAGAGGGAAAGUAAUUAGGCGAAAAGGGGAAGAAAAAAAUCUUCUUCUUCCCCUGCCUCGUGUGUCCAGGGGAAGAAGAAGAGCUACAGUGCCGUCAAAACGGCACCGUUUUGGGCUUCUGUUUUUUUUUUUUUUUUUUUUUUUUUUGCAACAGUGAAUGAAACGGCGCCGUUUUGGUCAAAACGCGCCGUUUCAUUUAAAAGGAAAAGGCGCCAAAAAUCAGAUUCAAAUUUCGGCCCUCCAUUUGCGCGCGUUUUACAAUUUAGUCCUUGGUCUCGGAUUUCUUCAAUUAAGUCCCUAAUUGGCCAUAAACUUCAAUAUUUAUGCAAUUAAGCCCCUGAUUUGACCAAAUUAACUUCCAAAAAUUAUAAUUUGACCCCAGAAAAUUAAUUUCUCCUAAUUAAAGCCCAAAUUAACUCCAAAAUCAAUUUUUCUUGCAAUUAAAAUCUCCAUAAAUUCAAUUAAACCUUCAAUAAAAUUUAAUUGAGUCCAUAAACUUCUGAUUUUGCAUUUUUCUUCCACAAAUUGAAUUUUCUUUAUCAUCGGGGCUCUCAUCAGUUAAUGAUAUACUGUCAAAAAAUAAUUUUUAUAUUUUUAAAAAUCCUCAAAUAAUUUUUUUAGCAUGUUUAUGGCCCUCUGGUAUUUUUCACUGUUAUAUUUUUUUGUAAUAUAUUUUUUUUUUGAAUUUUUUUGUAUUUUAUUAUUUUAUAUGUGGGGACCCAAAAAUGGGUUACAACAAUCUCUACCAUAAACACCACGUUCAUCCACCAGAGAAGUUGUUCGUCUUUUAGGCGAUGAUGGUUCUUUUCCAGUGCGGUUGAUCAAACCAAGGGCAUCCUUUUGUUUUACUAAGUAAUCUAGACUCUCCUGGAGGCCUCUUGAUUUUUCUUCUAUCUCUCUCAACCCCAUUAUUUCAAGUGGUUUAAUGAAGGUUUGAGCUUCAGCUUCCAACUCCUGCCGUAGAGCUUCAUAAGCAAUCUCAUCCAAGAAGUCGUCGGCUUCAUAGACAGCGUCUUUAUACUCGGCCAGCCAAUCCCGCACAGCUUUAUUUGUUAUCUGCUUCUCCUCAGCAUCGUCAAGCAGCCCACCGCCAGAUAUCAUUGUUGUCUUCAACCUCUUCAGCGGCCUAUCGUCAAACAAAAAUCUGGGAUUCAGCGUUUACUAGAAACUUCUUCAACAAUCUUUUGAAUUAAUUUUGAUUCAUGCCUGUGCAUAGAAAAAGAAAGUCAUCACUCAUGGAUGAAAGAUAAUCUUUUGAAUUUCAUGCAAAUUUAAAAUACAAAACGUAAUAAGAGUAAAAGUUAUAAGCAUUUGCUAUCGAUAUAGGGAAAGAAAAGAAGUACCCAUUUGCGAUACUGUGAGGAUCCAGCCCAGAUAAAUUUGCAGCCUCCACAAGAGCUUUUCUCCACUUUUGGACCUUCUCCAUUUCUUCCUUAAAACGUUCUUCAUGUCUAUAUCAAAGGCUUCAGCAAAACUCCCCGUCUGUUUUCUAAUAUCAGAAGGAUCGAUAUCAUAGAAAACAGGUAGAACAAUCUGGCCAGUUGUGUGUCUGCAAUCAAGAAUCUUUUCAAGUUCAUCAAGACACCAAGUGGAGGAAGCAUAGCCCUUAGAGAAAACCACUAUAGAAAUCAUGGAUUCUUGAAUUGCUUUGAGGAGUUGCAAGGAGAUUUCUUCACCUCUACGAAGUUCGUCGUCAUCUCGAAAUGCAUGGAUUCUUGCAUGGUGUAAAGCAGUGUAAAGAUGAUCCGUAAAAUUUUUGCGAGUAUCUUCACCUCUAAAACUUAGAAAUACAUAGUAACCCCAACCAGGUCUAGACAAAGAAGAAGAAGAAGAAGACGCCAUGAACAUCUAGUAAGGGUUGCUGGCAGUGGCGGAGCCACGUAGGAGCAAAAGGAGGCAAUUGCCCUCUUAAUUUUUUUAAAAAAAUAUUUGACCCAUACUGACCCAUCAAGGAUAAGAGAAAGACGAAAAAUCUAAAGUAUUUUUACUGCACAUAUUUGAAUGCAAUUUCUUUGGAAUUAGAGGAACCUGAUACGGAGUACAUUAGAAUAUUAAUAUAAUAAUAUGGUGAGGGGUUGAUAUUGUUGACUUGUGUCUUAAUAUAAUAAAUAAUAGAUAUAUAUAUAAUAUAUAUGCAACACCCCAGCUUAUUUCCCCAAACUUUUCCUUUUUCUUUUUUUUUUCCCGCUAACUAUUCAAGAGCUUUUUUACUCUUUUUUAGUUGCUCUCUUCCUUAUACAAUUUUUUUUUUCUCAGUUAGGCAACUUUAGGUAACAAAUUUUCAUUUUUUUUAUUCAUUUUAUUAUUUAAUUUUAGUUUUAUUUUUUAUAAUUAGUUAUUGAAAAUGUUAGGGUUUAUAAUAAUUUAGAGGUUUUGAUAUAUAUAAUAUUUUGAAUCAAUUAAAGAUAAAUAGUAGUGGAUUAGACUGCAAGAUUUUGAACAAUAGGUAUUUAUUUGAUUGUUUUGAACUAAUUAAAGGUUAUAUCAUUUCUAAUUGAAUUGAUUAUGAUAUGGAACUAAACUUUUUCAUGAGAUGAACAAUCAAACAUUCAAAUUGUUAUCAACAAGUAAAGAUUGAUAUUUACAAAAUUAAAAUUGUUUUAGCUUGAGAUUGGUCCUUUUUAUGAUGUUAAUUUCCUUUUUAUGAUUAAAUAAUUCAUAUUUUAUUUGUUUUUUUUUCUCUUUUUUGUUUUCGUCAGGCAAUUUGUGUUUUGCUGGAGAAGAAUUAACACGUGCGUACAAGCUUGAUUUUAAUCAGUGCAUGAUGGUUUUUUCUUAAAAAAGAAAAGAAAAAAACAUUUUUUUUUGUUUUUAAAAAUAAUUUAUCAUGAUAAAUUUAGACUAUCAAUCCUGAUCCAUAUCCAUGCAUUAUAUAUAGCAUGCUACAUGGUAAUGAGGUGUGAAAUGGAUUUUGAUGAAUUAAUGUGUAUUUUACUAUGAAUUUUAUAUGAAAAGUUUACAAUUAUUAUGUAACUCAACUGAAUUUUGUUAUUAUGAAAACCCAAAGAAAACAAUUAUAAUGUAAGUUUUUUUUAUUUUAAAAGUAUUUUUUUAAAUUAAUUUUGCUUUAUAUGAGUUAAUAUAUUUGUUUCAAAUUAAUUUCUAAUGCAAGUCUAUAUAAUAUAAUAUUUAUUAAUAAUUUAUCCCCUCAUUUAUAAAAUUCUGGCUCCUACCACUGGUUGCUGGCUUGCUGCAGGUAGGAGAGAGAGGAUCGAGGGGCAGUAAACUGUCACCUUCCCUCUUUCUUUUGAAGAGCCCAAUAUUUAAGUAUUGCUUUACAUAUGGAUGUUCGGUAAAACAAAAUUAAAAAAUUAUAUUUUUAAAUUAUUUUAAUAUUUAUAUGUAAAAAAUAAUUUUUAAAAAAUAAAAAAUAUUAUUUUAAUAUAUUUUUAAAUAAAAAAUAUUUAAAAAAAGCUACUAUAUUUUUAAAUAAAAAAACCUAGCACAUCUCUUUUAAUAUAGUUAAUCUCUAGUUUUCAUACAAUUAAAUGAGAUCAAAAUUGUUAAGGUCCUUUCACUUUCAUAACCUCUCUGCAUUUGGCUAUAUAUAUUCAAAGGUUUAAGCCGAAAUGAAUUCUAUUAGUAAAUUUGUAUCGAAUUACUUGAUUGUAUUAUGAAUUAACAUGUUUGGUAUCGAUCAAUGUCAAUAGAAAGAAUUGGGUUGCGGGUGCUAGGAAAAUGGAGCUAGGCAUGUUGGAAUAACUUGCUUUAUUUGCCAAGAGAUCCCAUCGUCUAAAAAGUGGGUUUCAUUGGAAUAACUUUUAUUAUAUAUGCCAAUCUUUCUUUUCACGUGAUGUGCUCAUGAUGCAGAAGAACACUUCACUUCAUGUCUUCUCUCCUCUUCUCUUAUCACUUUUCAUUGACAAAUAAAUUAUAAAUUUGUUGAUGACCAUUGCUAUGAAUAUUAUAAAAAACAAAGAAUUGUGGAGCAAAUUACAAUAGAAAAAAUCAUUAUAUUAGAAAUUAAGUACAGGUUAAAUUGCGAAAACAAAAAUAUUCGUAAUCAGUAUUAAGUAUACUAAUUGUUUGAUUUGAAUAAUAAGAUGCAAUCCAAUAGAAUUAGGUCUGAUUGGUUUUAUCUUUCACAUGUGGAAAUAACCUUUUUUUAAAUAUAAAUGGAUUAUUUUAUUCCAAAUUAAACCUCUUUAUAAAUGUAAUUAUUAAACUUCAACUAUUAAUGAUUUUUUAAAUAAAAUAUAGUUAAGAAAACAUUUUUAAAACAUGUUCAACAAUCAAAUGUGUUUGUUUUUUUAGCGGCUUUUGCUUUUAACACAAAUAACAAAAACAAGAUAUUUGGUUACAUAUGAAUCAUAGUUUUGUGAUUGUUAGACCCAUUACAAUUUACGGUCCAACCAUAAGCUACAAAUUUAGUAUUUUCUCAUCCACCGACAACUUCACCAAAAAACAAUUUAAGUUAUUUUACAAUUACUAAGGUACCCAAUCAUCUUUCUCAUCCUCUCCACCUUCACUUUUAAAAUAUUACAACAUCAGGUCAUCAACUUUCAUCAUAAUUUUAAUAAAAUAUCUUUUAUUAAACAACAUUUUUAAUUAUAAUUAUAAUUAAAUAUUUAUUAAAAUUAAAAUCAACUAUCAUUAAUUUUUAGAACUGAUGAUUCUAGUCAUGAACUCAGGGCUAAUCUCAUAAAAAUCAAACUAUUAGAAAUAACAAAGCAAUACUAAAAAAAUAAUAAAAAUAUAAUAUCAACUUAAAAAAAAACCAAGUAAACUUGAACGAAUUUAUUAAACCUGGUUUAACUCUAAAACUUGCAACCCGUGUAAUACUAGGCUCAGGAUCAAUAAAAAAAAAUUUCUAAAGCAAAAAAUAGAGAUACAAUUUUAUAUAUAUAAAAAAAAAACCUAAGGAUGAAAUUGAAAAAAUAAAUAACAAUCAAAAGAAUAAAAAUCAAAUUUGAAAGAUUAAAAAAUCAUGGGAUGAAAUUAAAAAAGAGAGUAAUUUGAUAGAUUUUCUUAAGAAUUUUCUUAAUUUGAAAACAAUUUGUAAAUUAAAAAAACAUAGAGGAUUAAAAGGUUUAAUGGUUAAAAGAAAGUUUUAUCACAAUCAUGGUAAACAGUAAUUUCUUUAAGAGAUUUAGUUUUUUUAUUAAAUUUAAUUAAUAAAAAUACGGUACCAUUCUCUUUAACCAUGCCUUUGAUUUUAGAUUAAAAAAAAACAAUAACUAUAAUUAUAAGAGAAGAAAUAUUUUCUUAAAAAUUAAGAGAAAUGAGGAAAUUAAUUUGUUAAUGUAUUUAAAUAAGAUCAUAUAUUCUCUUACAAAUUAGAAAUAAUGAAUCUAGUUUACAUAGUACUUUCUUGACAAAAAAUCAAAGCAAUAUGAAUGCUUGUAUAUACGAAUUACAUACAUAAAAAAUAAAGAAAACAAAAUAAAAUCAUUUCACACCAUGCCAGAGUCACAUUUUUAAUACCAAUGUUUCUCACUCUUAAAAUUUUUACUCUCAAUAUAAUUUUAGUCGGUGUAAAAAAAAAAAAAAACAGAGCAAUACCAUGAGUCGACUCAACCCGACGCCUUGAAGGAAGCCGUGACCGAGUUCAUUUCCACCCUUAUUAUUGUCUUUGCCAAUGAAGGGUCCGGCAUGGCCUUCGCUAAGGUCACCGACAGUGCUGCCAACAUACGCGCUAGACUCAUCGUUGCAGCCAUCGCCCAUGCUUUCUCCCUUUUUGUUUUUGUUUCUGUUGGUGUCAACAUCUCUAAAAAGUAUUGGUUUUUGGCAGCAGCAACCAAAAACCCAGUUCCAAAAAACGACCCCAGCUGCAAGAUUCAUCCUUUUUCCCCAUCAUCCCCGCAUGCUAGAACAUUCCAAAAUCCCAUCAGCCUCAAAAACACAACUGUUUUUCUUUUCUUUAAAAAUAAAAAACUAAAGAAAAGAGACGCAACUUGCUCGUAGAGUUAGGCCAAUCACAAAAAAAAAUAUCCCAUCUCCUCAUUUUACUUGCUAAAGAAGAAUUCAGGAAAGGAAAGAAAAGAGAUAUCAAAUGACAAUAAUAGCAAACAGCCCUCUGUUCCUUUCUACCAGCCUUGCAAAAGUAGUUUACAAGGGGACCAACAACUCCAUCGCUGGAAGUAAUUUUCACCACCUGCCCCUUCUGCAGUCCAUAGUAUCGCACAAUGGCAUCCGAUUCUAGCAAUCUUCGGCUGUAGAACAUGCAUGGUAAUGUUCACCAGCAGGUCAGUGAUCUGAAUGCAAAUCAAACCGUGAAGUGAUUGUCGAAAGCUUAAAUGGGUAACCUUUCUAAAUAUAAGCUACAAGGACAAUAUGAUACAUAAAGAUAAAAUGAUAAUUUAUACACAUUUCCAUUAGCUUUGAUGGAGAAAGAGCAUUCAAAAAGAUCACCGCUAGUAUCACAGACAUGAUCAAAAAGUGACUAGCAUGACCUCUUGUGGCUAGAAAUUAGCAUCGUUCUUUAAAAUGUCUGGCCACCCAAAGUUCUUUCUAAUUGUCUUACAACAAAUCUGCAGUAUGAAAAUUUAUUUAGACAACAGGGGGGUGUACUUGAAAAACCUCCACUUUGAAUGGAAACUUCUCCGGCUCUUUCUUGGCAAAGUAGUUCAUUUUGCUUUGCAAAAUCAGUAUUGUCAAAGAACCAUCUCAAUUCAAUAGCUUAAGCUAUUAGGUGAGGUCCCAGGAUAUGAUUUAUAUUAUUCUCUAACACACCCUCUCAAGUGAAAGCUCUUUGGGCUUGAAACUUGCACAGACCCACAUUACCUUGUGCUUAUUUUUUUUAUCAAAUAAAUGGGGAUAGUGAGAUUCGAACUCGUGACCGCUUGAUCGUCAAGGCUCUGAUACCAUGUCAAAAAACCAUCUCAACUCAAUAGCUUAAGCUAUUAUGUGAAUUUCUAGAAUAUGAUUUAUAUUAUUCUUUAACAAGUAUCAACCCUUGUAUACUCUCUUUGCUAAGAAUUUGACCAUAUACAGCCCUGAUAUUUGCUGUUCUAAUUUCAUCAGUUCCCAUGAAGAUGACCAGGUUCUGCAGACCAAGUUAAAAAAAAUAAAAUUAUGACUAGGAUUUCCAUACAAAUUUCCAUAUAAUUUUUAUUAAGAAAUAUAGACCGGUAAAGAGGUGAAUGAGCCUAUCUCAUAUCUUACCAUUAAAACAUAAUUUGCUCCUACUCGACCCAUACCUAUCACCCUAAACCCAUAUCCAUACCUGCCUAUGUAAUAACCAGCCCAUGUCGAAAAAAAAAUAGCUUUUCAGUAAUGUUCAUUUUAGUCCAUGAGUUUUUAAAACGUUUUUUAGUCAUAUAUUUUUUCUAAGAAAACAUUUUAUUUGUUAGAAUUUUUUUUCAAUUUUUUUUACAAUAAAAAAUGCAGACAUUUAGUUUCAAAUUAUUGGUUUGGAAUGCAUCCAACAAAGUUAAUGUUUUAACAUGUAAUUAAGAUAUACUCAAAAUUAUUUUAAAAGUAAUUUAAUUUAAAAUUAUAUAUUUAAGAAAACUAAAUAGAAGAUGAGCUUCACUUUCAAGCUAUAUAAACUUAUUAAAUUAACCAAAAUUUAUUGUAAAUUAAAUUAAAUAUCUCAAGAAAAAAUAGCUAUUAAGAUAUAGUAAAAGCAUUGUCACAGUUGUUUUGUAAUAUUGACAGGAGUAUCUGAUUUUGAAAAUGACCAAAGGAUAAAACAAAGGAAGCAUCUGACUAUGAAAACAGAGUCGAAGGAUUGCAGUCAGCUUCGAUGACCGGAGAACAGACAACGGCAGGAACCAACGAUGCCAAAACCCAAACGAUACAAGGGAUGGGGGGACAACAUUUCUAUUAAAUCAAGAGCCAAAAAGCAGCAGCACCGUGGAACACCAAAAGACUAAAAGGCAGCAACAAAGCCAUAGAACACCAAAAGGCUUGAAGAUCAAAUUACAAAUAUUGUAGGCAAGCAGUUUCACGUCCAAUACAAGCAGUUUCAUUUCUAUGAAAUUGCUCUCGCACACCAUUCUUUUCUUCAGCUACAAUUAUUUAUCUGCUGCUAUUAUAGAUGAACAUCAGACAAUCCUCACUAUUGCUCUACCAAUUUCUUGUAACUCUUCAUCAGCGUUGGCAUUUGUAGCUUUACCCUGGCCAUGCAAGUUUUCUUCAUUGUUAACUCCAGUGAAUUUGUGCAUAAUCACCUUCAUUGGGUGCAAAUCUUGUUUUCCGUUACAUUUGUCUUCCACACUUGUUGAGACAUCUCUCUCUCUAGUGGCUAAAUCUAGCAAAAUUUCGUAUGUUGCGCUGCUUAUUUAUGCAAGCUCCUUGUUAAACUUAACUACAGUGCAAGUUUAUGUUUUAUUCCUCUUUGAAUUUAGGAUUUGUAGUUUUCUCCGCAAAAAAAAAAAAAACCCAGUAAUACUGGUAUCACACCUGUAUUGUUUCCUAUACUCUCACCCAGGGAGAUGAAGGCCGCCACAACCUUACAUAGCUUUCCAUCUUUCUGAAAUUUGCCGUAAAAUUUCCUGAUCAACUUUACAUUGAUUUAUGUAAAUUGCCUGCUUGAACUUCGACUCUUGAAUACAAAAGCACAAAAGAAAUUGAAAAGGAGAGCUAAACACACACAUCCAAGUAUAAAUGAGUGGCACAACACAAAUGAUAAAUUUUGCUAGAUUUAACUAAGAGAGAGAGAGACAAAGAUUGUUCAACAAGUGCAAUAAGUUUAUUCAAGGACAAAUAGAAGGAAAACAAGAUCUGUACAAAUUCACCAGAAUCAUCAAUGCAGAGAACUUGCACAACUUUAGAUAAACAGGGCAAAAUCAUUAAGUGCCUGCUCUCUUGAGUGACAUUGGCAACUUUCACUUGCUUCUGAAUUUUGAUUCCAAAACACGGAUGCUUCCUUGUUAUGAACUAUGGUUAUGUUCACUUGCUUCUGAAGGCUUGGGUUGUGGGUUUCUCAUGUCAAUUGAAGCAAUUCCAAGUAAAUCCAAAGAGCAUUGCAGUGGCACAAAAGCCGGCUUGUGGUUGCUGAUUUAUUUGCUGAUAAUCCGUAACAAGCAAUGGAUUUUCGUUGCUGAUUUUUCAAUUAUCAGCUUCUUUUUUAUUUAAUUUUUUGUUUUUAAUAAUUCAUAUCACUUGUUUUAGAAGCCAGUAACCCUUUAAUUGCUAAGCCGGUCAUCUAAUUUAAGAACUUAGCCAAUAGCCAUUCCACUUCUUCUUCCUCUUUCCUUCGUAGAUCCAAACGAACAUAAUUUAUUACAUCUGAAAUCUCAUGGAAAAAUUUAAUUAAUUUAUUUAUGAAACAAGCACGAAAUCCAAAUAUCCCUCUCUCAGAUCAAUGGUUUACGAAUGGUCCGUAAAGAUUUAAAUCCCUAUUUUUCCUUUGAAAUUCCGUAUCUGAUGAAAGAAUUUGCUUUGCUUCUUAAUAAUUUUACCAAAAUGAUCUCUCUGUAUGUAUGCAAGUUAACUAGAGAGCGCAAAUGGCGGAUUAUAUGAAAAUGAUCAAUUAUUUGUCCUGAACAACAGUCUCCACAAUGGAAGGUGUCACGGGGUCUUUUUUUCACUCAAAUUUUCAACCCAAUGCGAAGAAAAUUUGUAUUUCAACAUCCAACAAAUAAAAACAUACAACUUUCUAGAACAAUAUCUGUAUUUCAUUAAUCCAAACUUAUGAGCCGCCCUUGCUUGUAGAGGAAAUUUGGAUCAGAAUGCUGCAAAGAAACAAUGGAGGAUUUAGACCAAGAGCAUGAAAAGGAUAUGUAAAAAUCACAAAUAGCUACGUAAUGAUAUUUGAAAAACAAUCUUGUUUUGUGAAAAUGGGCAAUUGGUAAUACUGACAUGAAAAUGCAAAGAAUUAAUAAUGGUGGAGAAAUACAGAGUAACUGAGAAAGAACAUCAAAUGGAAAAGCUCACAAUGAGUCAUAGCUGAGGGAGCAAGCAGAUCAAUUUUAUCCUGUGCAUAUCGUUCUGGCAAGAAGGAAGGGUGACAGAGCCUUCAUGAACUGUAAGUAGAAAGAUGGAUUUGGAUCCUGCCAAAAAUAAACAUAGAAUUAAUAGUGGAACAUGACAAAUUUUAACUGAAAUUGCCUUUGAUUACUGAAAAGAAAAUAAACUAUUUAGGAGCAAUACCUCAAAAAAUAUGUUGGACGAUUGAAAGAAAAGCUACUUUUUUGCCCCGCUAAUACUUAGGACACAUGCGAAUUUCAAGAAAAGAAAGGGAGGAGGGCAACUCUUCUUCUGGCAUUGACUCAAGCAUUGGGCAGUUACUUAUUUUCAAUUCUCUAAGAGAGGUGAGGUGUUGAAGCCCCUUGUAGUCAAGAGAUUUCAGGUGUUCUAGGGAAGAGAUUUCAAGAGAUGUAAGACUUGAGGGCAGCAGCAUCUCUUCAGGGAAGGAUUCAACAUUUUCGUCCCUACCAAUUUCAAAGUGUGAAAGAGAAGGGAGAUUUUGCAAGCCCCAUUGCAUGCGGCCUGCAAUGAGUUUGUUGCAAUUACGAAUCACAAGUGAUUGUAAUGUGGAGGGAAAACCCCCUUCUAGACACAACUCAACUUCUGAACAACCAUAUAUUGCCAAAUGGAAAAGGGAUGGGAGGAGGGAAUGCAUACUCUCAGGCAACUGCUUCAGGUUGCUGCAAUCAUCCAACACAAGUCGUGUCAAGACUGGAGCAGGUAACCCUCCUUUGGGAAAUGAAACUAAUUUAGGGCACGUUUCGAUUAACAAAGAAUGGAGAGAGGUGAGAUCAUUGAGAGGUCUUUCAUGUGCACAUAGUGUUUCGAGAACUGGACAGUCAGAGAUAGAAAGACAUUUUAACUGGGGGACCAAGUCCAGGGCGACGCCUUUGAGAGAAGCGCAGCCGUAGAUUCUAAUUUCCCCUAAAUCAGAGGGUGAACAACCCAUUUGAUCAAUUUCCUCGUGUAGGGACUCCAGGGAGUGGAAUCCAGAAACAUCGAGCGAGUGCAACCUAGGAAACCUAGGAAGUGGAGUCGCGAGCUGCCUACAUCCCUCAAUUCUAAGUCUUGUUACACGUGGAAGGUUGUGACCAGGUAGGGCCUUUGUAAGGUUGGAGCAUCUCUUGAUUGAAAGAAACUCAAGAAGAGGGAAGGCUUCCCGGCUGCCUUCGUCUGAAAUCCACUCGCGCCACUUUGGCAUUUUUGUAAAAGAUAAUAUUUUGAGGGAUUCAAAUGGCUUCUUCAUAAUAGUACAAUUCCCAUAGAACCCGGAGUCCACAGUCUCAACUUUAUCGAAUGCUUCAAUUGAGAGACGCUCUAAAGAAGCUAAUUGCCCGAGCGGUGGUAAGGAGGUGCAGUUUGUACAUCUACUGAGCUUCAAGGACACUAUAUUUGAGAAAGAGGACUCUCCUACCCACUCCGGAAACCUUACACCUCCAUAACCAUCAAUCUCAAGAUCCUUCACAUUUCUGUUUGGCUCUAAUUUCUCAAGUGUAACAAACUCAAGAUCCUUCACAUUUCUGUUUGGCUCUAAUUUCUCAAGUGUGCUUGUUACGUGUUGCGGGUCAUGAGUGUCACCAUCCCAUGUAAACCUCAGCUUAUCAAGGUGCUUUUUACCUUUCAAAUUUGCCUCACCAGCAUCCCGAGCAUCCACCACAUUUUGAAGGUUCCUAAUAUGAAGUUCUCCCCGUAGAUGUCGUAGCUUUCCCAAUUCUUUAAUGCUAGUCUCACUCUGUCUUCCCACGAAAAAGGCAGUCAACGUUUGGAGCUUUGUCAGUUGACCCACAUGUGGUGGCAUCUCUUUCAAAGGCGUGCCUUUGAUGUUAAGAUACCGCAAGUUGAUUAACCUUUCCAGAGAUUCAGGCAACCUUUCGAUUCUUGUUCCUUCAAGAUUCAGAUGUCGUAAAUGCUUCAAAUUUCCAAGAUCAGGUAGACUAGCAAGUUGUUGGCAAUAUUUCAAGAUCAACGUUUGCAAAUUGAGAAGAGCACUCACUUCUUCAGGCAACGUUACUAAAUCUGACCGAGAGAGAUCCAAAUACCGCAAAUGCUUCAACUUGCUAGUUGAAC
rnacentral:lncRNA from 1 species